CUACGGGUCGCACCAGUGGGGAAUAUUGGACAAUGGGGGAAACCCUGAUCCAGCAAUGCCGCGUGUGUGAAGAAGGCCUGCGGGUUGUAAAGCACUUUCGGUUGGGAGGACUGCUUCUAGCACUAAUAUUGUUGGAAGUUGACGUUACCUUCAGAAGAAGCACCGGCUAACUCCGUGCCAGCAGCCGCGGUAAUACGGAGGGUGCAAGCGCUAAUCGGAAUUACUGGGCGUAAAGCGCGCGUAGGCGGCUAGAUCAGUCGGGUGUGAAAGCCCCGGGCUUAACCUGGGAACUGCAUCCAAUACUGUCUUGCUUGAGUACAGGAGAGGAGAGUGGAAUUCCACAUGUAGCGGUGAAAUGCGUAGAUAUGUGGAGGAACACCAAUGGCGAAGGCAGCUCUCUGGCCUGAUACUGACGCUGAGGUGCGAAAGCGUGGGGAGCAAACAGGAUUAGAUACCCGAGUAGUC
rnacentral:rRNA from 1 species